GAUGAACGCUGGCGGCGUGCCUAAUACAUGCAAGUCGAGCGAACAGACGAGGAGCUUGCUUCUCUGACGUUAGCGGCGGACGGGUGAGUAACACGUGGAUAACCUACCUAUAAGACUGGGAUAACUUCGGGAAACCGGAGCUAAUACCGGAUAAUAUUUUGAACCGCAUGGUUCAAUAGUGAAAGACGGUCUUGCUGUCACUUAUAGAUGGAUCCGCGCUGCAUUAGCUAGUUGGUAAGGUAACGGCUUACCAAGGCAACGAUGCAUAGCCGACCUGAGGGGGUGAUCGGCCACACUGGAACUGAGCCACGGUCCAGACUCCUACGGGACGCAGCAGUAGGGAAUCUUCCGCAGUGGGCGAAAGCCUGACGGAGCAGCGCCGCGUGAGUUAUGAAGGUCUUCGGAUCGUAAAACUCUGUUAUUAGGGAAGAACAUAUUUGUAAGUAACUGUGCACAUCUUGACGGUACCUAAUCAGAAAGCCACGGCUAACUACGUG
rnacentral:rRNA from 1 species